rnacentral:lncRNA from 1 species
AAGAUGAGGUCUUGCUUACCCAGGCUGGAGUGCAGUGGUGCGAUCAUGGCUCACUGCAGCCUUGACCUCCCAGGCUGAAGCAGUCCUCCCACCUCAGCCUCCCGAGUAGCUGGGACUACAGACCUGUGCCAUCACAGCUGGCUAACUUUGUUGCAUUUUAGUACAGAUGAAGUCUUAACGAUGUUGCCCAGCCUGGUCUUGAACUCCUGGGCUCAAGCAAUCCUCCCACCUUGGCUUUCCAAAGUGCUGGGAUUACAAGCAGUGCCUGGCCGGUUUUGUUUUAUUUUGUUUGGUUGAUCCAAUUUUUUUAGUGGGGAAGGGAAAAUCAAAUUUUAUACAGAAGCCAAAUAAAGAGAUUCCCUUAAUCAUCAUUGUAACUCUCCAAUACCUUGUUCCUUCACCUGUCAAAAGGAAGGGAUUGGCUGUUUAGUAAUUUAUGAAGACAUUAUUUUAAUGUGAAGAGGCUAUAAAAUAAUAGUUUUACAAUUGGUCCCUGAACAGCAUGGUGGUUAGAGGUGCUGACUCCCCUAAUAAUUGAAAAUCUGCAUGUAACUUUGACUCCUCCCCAAAUUUAACAGUUUUUUAUUUUAUUUAUUUUUUGAGACAGCGUCUCGCUCUGUUGCCCAGGCUGGAGUGCAGUGGCAUGAUCUCGGCUCACUGCAACCUUUGCCCCACCGCCCACCCCCGGUUCAACUGAUCCUUGGGCUUCAGUCUUCAGAGUAGCUGGGAUUAUAGGCAUACGACACCACGCUGGGCUAAUUUUUGUGUUUGUAGUAGAGACGGGUUUCACCACGUAGGCCAGCCUGGUCUCAAACUCAUGGGCUCAAGUGAUCCACUCGCCUCGGCCUCCCAAAGUACUGGGAUUACAGGUGUGAGCCACUCUGCCCAGCCCCAGAUUUAACAAUUAACAGCCUUACUAAUGUAAAGAUUCAACUAGCACAUAUUUUGUGAUAUAUGUACAUAGUUAUUUAAUUUUUGAGAUGGAAUCUCGCUCUGUCACCCAGGCUGGAGUGCAGUGGCAUGAUCUUGACUCACUGCAACCUCUGCCUCCUGGGUUCAAGUGAUUCUCCUGUCUCUGCCUCCCGAGUAGCUGGGACUACAGGUGCGUGCCACCACACCUAGCUCAUUUUUGUAUUUUUAGUAGAGACGGGGUUUCACCAUGUUGGCCAGGCUGGUCUUGAACUCCUGACCUCGUGAUCCACCCACCUCGGCCUCCCAGAGUGCUGGGAUUACAGGCAUGAGCCACCAUUCCUGGCUAUUAUAUAUCUUAUAUACUGUAUUCUUACAGUAAAGUAAGCUAGAGAAAAGAAAAUAUUAGGAAAAUCAUAAGGGAGAGAAAAUAUAUUUACUAUUCAUUAAGUGGAGGUAGAUCUCAUAAAGGUCUUCAUCCUCGUUAUCUUCAUGUUGAGUAGCUGAGGAGGAGGAGAGAUUGGUCUUUGUAUCAGGGGUGGCAGAGAGGGAAGAGGUAAAAGAGAUGGAAGGGGAGGCAAGAGAGGCAUACUCGGUGUAUAUUUUAUUGAAAAAAAAAAUCCACAUAUAAGUAGAUCUAUGCAGUUCCAACUCAUGUUGUUUAAGGGUCAACUGUUACAGAAAAACAGAUAUUUUCACAGAUUAAAAAGGUUUAAAAAUUUACUGUUCCUAUGAGAUUAAUUUUUUUUCCCUAAAUGGUAAUAAAUUUUGCUUACUUAGCUUUUAUGCUUCUGAUCUAUUGUACUUUGAGAUACUGAUGCUCUUACAUGUAAGCUCUGUGAGAACAGGUAUCUCAUUGUCUUGUUCACUGUUGUAUCACUGGUUCUUAGAGCCCUGCUUGGCACAUUAUAAGUUUUCAAUAAACAUUUAUUUGUUGUUGUCGAAUUUCUGGAAAAUAUCUUUUGCUUAUUUGUUUCUGUAACAAGAGCUGAAGAUGGUUGACAUCAUGUUAGGGAAUAGGAUAUAAUUGAUAAUUUGUUUAAAUGUAAACUGUACCUAUCCGGGGGAUAACAUUUUAAAACUGCAGGAGGUCUGUAUGAAAAUAUAGAUAUUCUGCUCCCCACCCCAGUACCUCUUGAAUUUUGAAUGAAGGACCAAAAGCCAAUAAUGUGUUGUUUUGUGUGUGUGUUUUUUGAUACAGAGUCUCAAAAAUAAAGGGAAUCACUUUAUUUGGCUUCUGUAUGCAGUGGUGGGAUCAUGAUUCACUACAGCCUCAACCUCCUGGGCUUAAGUGAUUCUCCCACCUCAGCCUCCUGAGUAGCUGAGAUUACAGGCAUGCUAAUUUUACCUGGCUAGUUUUUGAAUGUUUAAUAGAGACAGGGUCACACUGUGUUGCCCAGGCUGGUCUUAAACUAUUAGGUUCGAGGGAUCCUCCCGCCUUGGCCUCCCAAAGUGUUGGGGUUACAGAUGUGAUGAAAUGUGUCAACAUUUGGCUGCAUAAUUCAAGGAACCAGUAUUUUCUAAGUGACCAAUCAAUGCAUGAUGUUAUAAAAUCAUCCAUGAAUAAAAGAUCCAUUCAAAGUAGAAGAUAGACCAAUAAAUUUUAAUGUUGCAAACUGUGCAAAAAGUUCAGAAACCAUUGAUAUAAUUUCAGAUUCUACAAUGCCACUAAUCUUUAAGAAACACCCCUCGUCAAAUUUGAUGUAGUAGCAAAUAAUUUCCAGUUAUCUGAAAAGACUGUUAACAUACUCUUCCCUUUUCCAACUACAAUCUCAGACUUAAUAAUGGUUCACUUUAUGAUUUUUCCACUUUAUGAUGGUGUGUGUAAAGCUAUAUGCAUUCAGUAGAAACCGUACUUUGAGUACCCAUACAACCGUUCUGUUUUUCACUUUCAGUACAGUAUUCAAUAAAUUACAUGAGAUAUUUGACACUUUGUUAUAAAAUAGGCUUUGUGUUAGAUGAUUUUGCACAACUGUAGGCUGAUGUAAGUGUUCUGAACAUGUUUAAGGUAGGCUACACUAAUCUAUGAUGUUAGCAGAUUAGAUGUAUUAAAUGCAUUUUCAACCUACAAUAUUUUCAACUUACAAGUGGUUUAUCAGGAUGUAAACCCCACCCAUUAUAAGUCUAGGAGCAUCUGUCCAUAUCUGUGUGAAGUUAGAUUUUCACGCUUCAAACCAAGGCAAUGUAUUGUCAUAGAUUGAAUGCAGGCGCAGAUAUGAGUGUCCAGUUGUCUUCUAUUAAGCUAGAUGCUAAAGAGAUUUGUAAAAAUGUAAGAUAAUGCCAUUCUUCUUCCCAAUUAAAAAAAGUUUUAGGCCGGCUGCGGUGGCUCACGCCUGUAAUCCCAGCAUUUUGGGAGGCCAAGGCGGGUGGAUUGCCUGAGGCCAGGAGUUCAAGACCAGUCUGGCCAACAUGGUGAAACCCCGUCUCUACUAAAGAUAGAAAAAAAUUAGCCGAAUGUGGUGGCGUGCCCCUGUAAUCCCAGCUACUUGGAGGCUGAGGCAGGGGAAUUUCUUGAACCAGGGGAACUUCUUGAACCAGUGGAGGUUGCAGUGAGCUGAGAUUGCGCCGCUGCACUCUAGUCUGGGCAACAGAGCAAGACUCCGUCUUAAAAAAAAAAAGUUUUAAUAAAAUAUGUUAUUUAUAAUAACAUAUAAUGGGAAUUUUUUUUAAAUUCCUGUCCUAGUUUAUUUCUGCUGCUAUAACAGAACCAAGACUGGGUAAUUUAUAAAGAACGGAAAUUUGUUUUCUCAUAGUUCUGGAGUCUGGGAAGACCAAGAUCAAGGCACCAGCAGGUUUGGUUCUCUGAUGAGGGUCUAGUCUCUGAAUCCAAGAAGGUGCCUGGAAAGCUGCAUCCUCCAGAAGGGAGGGGUCAGUAUGUCCUCACAUGGUAGAAGGCAAAAGGACAAAAAGGGUCCAAACUCCCUAAUCAAACCUGUUCAUCAUGGCAUUAAUAUACUUAUAAGGACUCUGCCCUCAUGACCUUUACACCUUCCCAAAGGCCCCACCUCUUAACACUGUUUCUCUGGGGAUUAAGUUUCCAAUAAAUGAAUUUUGGCACUUUCAGACCAUAGCAAAUUUGU